UUCUAGAAUUAUUCCCUGAUUUUUCUGUGCACACAACAGAUUUCAUUCUCGAUAUAAGACCUCAUCUCCUCUCAUUUUUACUCUCUCUGGAUUCAAAACAGACUUUCACCCUAAGAAAUCUCUGAAAUUCAGAUUUCUUUUCCUUCAUUUUGAGACUGACUUGGAAACAGAUUUGAAAUUCAAUUUUUCUUCUUUUUAAAAAUUGAGAACUUCCCUCUCAUUUGGCUAUGAUUCCGCAUUAGAGUUUCAUUGGUCUUUGGUUUUACUGCUGGAUUUUUGGUUUGAAAAUCAAAGCUCAUGUAUACUUUUUCCACUGCUAUUGGCUGCUACUGUUUAAGCUGUGUUUUUCUGCUGCACUUCUCAACUUCAGAGAUCUAUUUUCUAUCUUGUCUAUCUUGCAGUAAUCAGAAUGAGCACUGUUCAGAAUUUACCGGUGAAGGUUAUGGAUCAGAUUCCACUAGCAAUCCACAUGUGGUGGGAAGACUUGGGAAAACAAGGGCAAGACAAGGUCAACUGAUAUCUAGAGGCACUCACUAAACUAUUAAAAAUUCAACCUAGAAGGGAUUUGAUAGAGGCACUGGUUUCGUUCUGGGAUCCCGCUCACAAUGUUUUGUAUUUCUCAGAUUUUGAGCUUACACCUACCUUGGAACAAAUUGCGGGUUAUACCGAGAAUACGGAGGGAUUAAGGCACAAGUAUAUGAUAUCUCCAAGGACUGUUACUCCCCACAAGUUUCUAGACCUACUGAAAAUAAA